CAGAGGGUGCGAGCGUUAAUCGGAAUUACUGGGCGUAAAGCGUGCGUAGACGGUUAUUUAAGUCGGGUGUGAAAGCCCCGGGCUCAACCUGGGAAUUGCAUUCGAGACUGAAUAGCUAGGGUACGGUAGAGGGAAGCGGAAUUUCCGGUGUAGCGGUGAAAUGCGUAGAUAUCGGAAGGAACAUCAGUGGUGAAAGCGGCUUCCUGGACCAGUACCGACGUUCAGGCACGAAAGCGUGGGGAGCAAACAGGAUUAGAUACCCUGGUAGUCCACGCCAUAAACGAUGAGGACUAGACGUUGGAGGGGUAAGCCUUUCAGUGUCGUAGCUAACGCGCUAAGUCCUCCGCCUGGGGAGUACGGCCGCAAGGUUG
rnacentral:rRNA from 1 species